AGCGAACGCUGGCGGCAGGCCUAACACAUGCAAGUCGAACGAACCUUUCGGGGUUAGUGGCGGACGGGUGAGUAACACGUGGGAACGUGCCUUUAGGUUCGGAAUAACUCAGGGAAACUUGUGCUAAUACCGAAUGUGCCCUUCGGGGGAAAGAUUAAUCGCCUUUAGAGCGGCCCGCGUCUGAUUAGCUAGUUGGUUGAGGUAAUGGCUCACCAGGGCGACGAUCAGUAGCUGGUCUGAGAGGAUGAUCAGCCACAUUGGGACUGAGACACGGCCCAAACUCCUACGGGAGGCAGCAGUGGGGAAUCUUGCGCAAUGGGCGAAAGCCUGACGCAGCCAUGCCGCGUGAAUGAUGAAGGUCUUAGGAUUGUAAAAUUCUUUCACCGGGGACGAUAAUGACGGUACCCGGAGAAGAAGCCCCGGCUAACUUCGUG
rnacentral:rRNA from 1 species